GUCCAUUCAAUUUUAAAAAAUAGACAAAAUUGGUAACAAAACCUAUAAAAAUAUAAUUUUGGCCCUUUACGACCAAAUUACAUUUUCGGCUUGCAUAUCCUUUAAAUUACUGCACGAUCAUUUCAAACAAAAUGCAUAUACUAGUUAUAACUCCGGCUGGCAAGACGGUAAAGGUCGAUAUUGGCGAUGAGCCCGACCACAAGGAUGUGAAUCACGACCGAAUAAUACCGCUGGGCGAUAAAAAAUUGCUGGAUAAGUUCCCAACAACCCCGGACCAGUCACCGAUUCAGAUAGAGAAACAGCCGAAAUAUCCAGGCCAGGCAUCCGUGCAUUUCUCAAGCAAUUCAUAGCACGUCGAUGUCGUUAAAAGAUGUUUUCGUUGUGCGGUAGCUGCUUAAGGGAAAACCUACGGCACACUUGCCUGUAUAUUGGUUCCGCCAAGUUAAAUAAUUGAUACAUGCUGAUUUUUUAUCGGAAUACACAAGUAAAUGAAGGCGAUAAGUUUCGAGUCAAUAUAUCAGCAGCUUGAAAGCGGAAUAUAAAGAAAUACUUGGGAAAACUGAGUAGCAUGCAGCAUAUGUGCAAAGUUAGCAACAACAACGUACAAAUCUUGUAAUUUUAAUGUAUAUCCUUAGCUCCUUUGAGCAUAGAGGAACAUUUCUAUAAAAUAAACCAACCUACCAAAAAGAUUA